ensembl:lncRNA
ACCCAUUGCUGUGAAAGGUACCUGAUCUCAAGCUUUUCUAAUUAUUUUUUUUUUUAGUGUGACUUUUGGAAAUUAUAUUGUAUAUCAAUUUUUAGUUUAAUACAGAAUGUGGCCUGAGAUAUUGAUCUAAACCUAAUUUUUUAUAAAAUGUUUUCUAGUUUCUCCAGCAGUUUAUAGGGAGUUCUUCCCAAGUAGUUUGUACAAGUUGGUUUUCUUGAACACCAAGUUACCAAGUCUGAUUGUUUCAGAUUCUUGUUUAUCUUGUCUGUUCCUCUGAUCCAAUGAGCACUCAUGGAAUCUAUUUAGUUAGCCUUUCCUUAUCCCCCAGGUGCUAGUGCCCUCCCUACCCAAAUUAUUCCAUAUUCAUUUAAAAAACAAAAAACAAAAAACUCAUUUCCUUCUUAUUAGAAUUAAUAGUACUGGUUCCAAAGCCAAAGAGCAAUGAGGGCUGGGUAUUGGGGCUUAAGUGACUUGUCCAGGAUCACACAGCUAGAAGUAUCUGAGGUUAGAUUUGAACCCAGGACCUCCUGUCUUCAAGACUGACUGGACCACUUAGCUGACCCUUGAUUUUUUUUUUUUGCAUUCUGUAUAUAUCCAUAUGUGUGCAUACUGUCUCUCCCCAUCACCCCCUCUUCCCUAAAUGACUAUUAGAAUGUAAACUCUGUCCAGAUAGGACUGUUUUAUCAUAUCACCAUUACUUAACAAGAUGCUUAACACAUAUUUAUAUGUUAAAUUGAUUUACUGAUAAUCUGCCAAUAAGGGGUUAGUAGGCCCUUAACAAAUGUUUACUGAUUAAUUAGUACCUAGCAUCAAUGCUUACAUUUUAUACUAUACAAGCUUACUAGAGCUUACUAUUUCCUAUGGAAUUAGAUGUCUAUCAAGGUCUCUCUGAACAAGGGGUAUGGCAGAGACUACUUGAACUGACUCUGGAAAGUCAAUUGUUAAAUUUUCAUGAUUCUUCUAAUUUUAGUGUACUCUUCUGAGAGAAAUGGGAUUGGGGGUAAGGAAAAGUUUCAGACAAUAUGGAGUUUUAGGUACCUCAUUUUAGAAGGAACAUUAACAAGACAGUUGCCAGAGGAAAGUUACCAGGAAAAUGAGAUAACUGGAGACUAUGCCACAUGAGAAGAGAAUGAAAGAACUGCCAACUGACUGCUUGUGAGGGGGGAGAAGGAAGGAAGUAUCAUGGGUGACUGGAAACUAUACCAUAUGAAAACUGUCUGAAGAAACUGAGGAUGUUUAAA